UGUUUAAGUAGUUUAAUUAAAAUUUGAAAUUGUGGUUUUCAAGAUACAUAUAAAAAGUUUGUCUUAAACA
rnacentral:tRNA from 1 species